ensembl:lncRNA
AUGGCACUGGAACUGACAACACGGGGAUGUAACUGUGGUGGGAUUGCUGAAAUGCAGCCUGCUGUGUGCAGGGACAGUGAUGGGUUAAAUAUUAACAUCCAGAAAAGCCCAGCUGCUGGAUGGAGAGUGCAGAGUGGAGUCACUGCUGGAGCUGGGAUCCUCACACAGGUACAGAGUGCAGGAUUGGGAUUGGGAUUGGGAUCCUCACACAGGUACAGAGUGCAGGAUUGGGAUCCUCACACAGGUACAGAGAGCAGGGAUUGGGAUUGGGAUCCUCACACAGGUACAGAGUGCAGGAUUGGGAUUGGGGUCCUCACACAGGUACAGAGUGCAGGAUUGGGAUUGGGGUCCUCACACAGGUACAGAGUGCAGGAUUGGGAUUGGGGUCCUCACACAGGUACAGAGUGCAGGAUUGGGAUUGGGGUCCUCACACAGGUACAGAGUGCAGGAUUGGGAUUGGGAUCCUCACACAGGUAGAGUGCAGGGCACAGUGCCCACACUGGCUCUGUUUUUCCUUUUUCUGGAUGUUUCCAGAAUUCAUUCUCCUGAGCAGACACAUGGCAGAGUUUAAUCCAUUAAGAUAAAGCAGGCAAUUUGUGAUUUAUGGCAGCAGAACAACUUCCUUUCUCUUUCAAGUCUUCAUUAAUGACACUAAUAAAGAUUUGAAGAAAACUGGCUCUGUAUUUACAGCCAGGUCUUUGGAAACUCUGACAGGAGGGACACUUGCAGAAAUGAGUCCAUUAGCUGUAGGAACAUUAAUUAAUUUAUAAAUCUGCAACAGCUGUUAGAGAGACUCAGCUUUAUCUGCAAAGGCCCCAGGACUUUACAAAACCCAAAACAGCUUUCUGAAUUUAACACAGUUUCACUGAAAAACUUUCUCUUUUCCUGACCUUUGAAAAUCCUGCUGUUACUCUUCGUAACUUGCAAAGUCUUUCUGAAUUCUCCUCACUGUGAUGAUGAAAGAAUUGGCCAGACUUUGAGAAUUGCCCUGUUGAAAAUCACUCUUGGAAGGACUUUAAUAAUAAUAAUAAGCAAAAUCCAUUGAAACUCGUCUAAUAUAAAGUACAUGUCAGGAUAAUCUGACAUAUUUGGCUGCUUUAAGUGCUGAACCAGUUCUCAGAGGAUUGAAUUUUAUAACAAAGGUUUCCAGUGCCUCAUUCUAGCCCAGUAAAAACUAAAAUUUUCCAACUCAGCCAUGCAUCCUUCAUUGUCAGGGUGAUGAUGAGAUGUGUGCUAUCACUGGGGAGCUCACUGCUGCUUUCUAAUGGGCCUUUGUUGUUCUAGGACAAAGACUGAUUGAUAAAUUGCCUAUAAAAAGUGCCUUUGGGAUAUUAUUUAAUUGUCAGUGAAGUCUCUAUGUACUCACAGUUAUGUCUUUCCUCACAACACCUGCAGUACAAUCAAUUCUCAGUUCCUGGCUGCAGUUGGCCCCCUGGAGCACUGCACAGGGAGAGAUAGAAGCACUGAACUGGAAGAUGACUCCAAUUAAUUAGCUAUGCCUUGGAGAAGAAAGAAAAAAGAAUAAUAAAGAGCAAAGAACAGCAUUGACAUUGGAGAAGUGCCACUGGAAGGUGUGGCUGCUCAGAGGAGGAUGUCCCAAAGAUAACUCAGAUAUUGCUUAGACAUUUUUUGAGCAGCUAGAGAACAUGACAAGCAAAAUUUGCCAAAUGUGGCAGUUUCAGUUGUGCUGAGUGUGUGUUUGUAACUGAAGGUGUUGCAGUGUUAGUGAGGU